rnacentral:rRNA from 1 species
UACAGAGGUCUCAAGCGUUUGUUCGGAAUCACUGGGCGUAAAGGGUGCGUAGGUGGCGUGGUAAGUCAGAUGUGAAAGCCCGGGGCUCAACCUCGGAAUUGCAUCCGAUACUGCCGUGCUAGAGUACUGAAGAGGUGACUAGAAUUCUCGGUGUAGCAGUGAAAUGCGCAGAUAUCGGGAAGAACACCGGUGGCGAAGGCGGGUCUCUGGGCCAAUACUGACGCUGAGGAGCGAAAAGUGUGGGGGAGCGAACAGG